rnacentral:rRNA from 1 species
CCUACGGGAGGCAGCAGUAGGGAAUCUUCCGCAAUGGACGAAAGUCUGACGGAGCAACUGCCGCGGUCGAGUUGUAUGAAGGUUAUUCGGAUCAGUAGGAGAGGCUUCUGUUCGUUAGGGAAGAACAAGUGCAAGAGUAACUGCUUGCACCUUGACGGUACCUAACCAGAAAGCCACGGCUAACUACGUGCCAGCAGCCGCGGUAAUACGUAGGUGGCAAGCGUUGUCCGGAAUUAUUGGGCGUAAAGGGCUCGCAGGCGGUUUCUUAAGUCUGAUGUGAAAGCCCCCGGCUCAACCGGGGAGGGUCAUUGGAAACUGGGAAACUUGAGUGCAGAAGAGGAGAGUGGAAUUCCACGUGUAGCGGUGAAAUGCGUAGAGAUGUGGAGGAACACCAGUGGCGAAGGCGACUCUCUGGUCUGUAACUGACGCUGAGGAGCGAAAGCGUGGGGAGCGAACAGGAUUAGAUACCCUGGUAGUCCACGCCGUAAACGAUGAGUGCUAAGUGUUAGGGGGUUUCCGCCCCUUAGUGCUGCAGCUAACGCAUUAAGCACUCCGCCUGGGGAGUACGGUCGCAAGACUGAAACUCAAAGGAAUUGACGGGGGCCCGCACAAGCGGUGGAGCAUGUGGUUUAAUUCGAAGCAACGCGAAGAACCUUAC